rnacentral:rRNA from 1 species
CCAAUAGCGUAUAUUAAAGUUGUUGCAGUUAAAAAGCUCGUAGUUGAAUUUCGGGAUCAAAUUGUCGGUCGUGCCUCGGUACGUACUGGCGUUAUUGGUUCCUCCCUUCUGAAGAACCACGAUGUCAUUAAUUUGGUGUCGCGGGGAAUCAGGACUGUUACUUUGAAAAAAUUAGAGUGUUUAAAGCAGGCUCGCGCUUGAAUACAUUAGCAUGGAAUAAUGAAAUAGGACGUUUGAUUCUAUUUUGUUGGUUUCUAGGAUCGACGUAAUGAUUAAUAGGGAUAGUUGGGGGAAUUAGUAUUCAAUUGUCAGAGGUGAAAUGCUUGGAUUUAUUGAAGACUAACUACUGCGAAAGCAUUUGCCAAGGAUGUUUUCAUUAAUCAAGAACGAAAGUUAGGGGAUCGAAGACGAUCAGAUACCGUCGUAGUCUUAACCAUAAACUAUGCCGACUAGGGAUCGGAUGAUGUUAAUUUUUUAAUGACUCAUUCGGCGCCUUACG